AAGCGCUACUUCUUGACAAUGCGCAUAAACAAUUGGGACCAAAGACUUUCAGAAUCCAAAUGAAAAGAUUGUUUUCCAAAAAUCAAGAUAGGCUAGCUAUCAUGAAUUAUGAGGAAAAAGAACCUACCAACCAACCAUUACCAACUGCACCAAUGACCAGCACUGCAAAAGCAAGCAAGCGCAAGGCUAUGGAGACUAGCUUCGAACGAAUCAGCAGAACCUGCCCACCAAAGACAGACCUUCCAGCACUAGAUAGAAAAUAGAAACCAAGACUCCUCUCAAAAGGGAGUGAAAGCUACUGGAAAUGUUUUGCCCACAAGUUUUUGGAGCACAUCUUUUUGCCAAUGCACUGUCAAGCUACUAUCUUUUUGCCACAAGACUGCCUUUUUGAAAAGCUAUAUUACAACCAUAUGUGACGCCCCAUGCUUUAAAAAGGUAUUUUGUCAACCAUGGCGUCGCACAACUACAACAUGCAUGAUUGGUACUAGGAAAAUACUUUUUCUAUAAAUAUGUGGUAUAAAUGAUGUAUAUAUGACAGAGCAAUCAUCAAUGUAAUAGACAAAUGUAUAUAUGCAUAAACAGUGCAAACUUAUUUUAGUUGUCUUAUACUAUCUUACCUCAUUACUUACGAUAAUCUUCUUACUAUUGGAUAUUUUAAAUCAUCCCUGAAUAUUGUGAAAGUGAACGAUUUUUACGUUGGUUUUGGGAAGAGCA